rnacentral:rRNA from 1 species
UACGAAGGGGGCUAGCGUUGUUCGGAAUCACUGGGCGUAAAGCGCACGUAGGCGGAUCUUUAAGUCAGAGGUGAAAUCCCAAGGCUCAACCUUGGAACUGCCUUUGAUACUGGGGAUCUUGGAGUCCGGGAGAGGUGAGUGGAACUGCGAGUGUAGAGGUGAAAUUCGUAGAUAUUCGCAAGAACACCAGUGGCGGAAGGCGGCUCACUGGCCCGGAACUGACGGCAUGAGACGCGAAAGCGUGGGGAGCAA